AUUGAACGCUGGCGGCAGGCUUAACACAUGCAAGUCGAGCGGGAAUAGGUAGCUUGCUACUGAAUUCUAGCGGCGGACGGGUGAGUAAAGCUUAGGAAUCUGCCAUUUAGUGGGGGACAACAUUCCGAAAGGGAUGCUAAUACCGCAUACGUCCUACGGGAGAAAGCAGGGGAUCACUUGUGACCUUGCGCUAAAUGAUGAGCCUAAGUCGGAUUAGCUAGUUGGUGGGGUAAAGGCCUACCAAGGCGACGAUCUGUAGCGGGUCUGAGAGGAUGAUCCGCCACACUGGGACUGAGACACGGCCCAGACUCCUACGGGAGGCAGCAGUGGGGAAUAUUGGACAAUGGGGGGAACCCUGAUCCAGCCAUGCCGCGUGUGUGAAGAAGGCCUUUUGGUUGUAAAGCACUUUAAGCGAGGAGGAGGCUCCUGUAGAUAAUACCUACAGUGAGUGGACGUUACUCGCAGAAUAAGCACCGGCUAACUCUGUGCCAGCCGCCGCCGUAACAC
rnacentral:rRNA from 1 species